rnacentral:rRNA from 1 species
GACGAACGCUGGCGGUGUGCUUAAUACAUGCAAGUCGAACGGCUCUUCGGAGCAGUGGCGGACGGCUGAGUAACGCGUAGGUAACGUGCCUCUUACUGGGGGAUAACAUCGGGAAACUGGUGCUAAUACCGCAUAAGUCACGAGUUGAAAUACUUGUGAUUAAAGAAUUUCGGUAAGAGAUCGGCCUGCGUCUGAUUAGCUAGUUGGUAGGGUAAUGGCCUACCAAGGCGAUGAUCAGUAGUUGGUCUGAGAGGAUGACCAGCCAGAGUGGGACUGAGAACGGCCCACACUUCUACGGAAGGCAGCAGUAGGGAAUUUUGCGCAAUGGGCGAAAGCCUGACGCAGCAACACCGCGUGCGGGAUGAAGGCCUUCGGGUCGUAAACCGCUGUCGGCAGGGAAUAAAUUGACUGUACCUGCAAAGGAAGCACCGGCUAACUACGUGCCAGCCGCCGCAGUAA